GAGUGUGAUCACGAGUCAGCUGGGCUUUCAGCUCGCGGCAAAUACACAAACAAUCCCUCCCUCCACACACACACACACACACACACACACACACACACACUCAGCCUGUCGCUCUCACAGACACCAUUAGCACGGCUCUCUGGUGGAAAUAGAAAGCUAGAGAUAAAGAGAGAGAGACAGGAGGAUCAAAAGAAAAACAAAGAGGGCAAACAGGUGGAAUUAGGAAGAGAAACAGCAAACUAUUCCUCAGACGACAGGAACAUCCCCUCUGGGACGACAGGAGAGAGAGAGAGAGAGAGAGAGUUUUACCUUCCUCCUUAUCAACACACAUCUCAUGCUCCUCCUCUCCUCACAGUGACAGGUGAAACCUCUGCAGAUCUCAGCGGCUUGCAUCGUCUUUUGAGAGUGCCUUGUGUGUGUGGGUGUACUGUCUGCAUUCAGACGUCCGCACGUAGUGCAUGUGUGUGUGUGUGUGUGUGUUUUAGAGAGGCCGUUUUUCCCAGGGUGGUGUGUGAAGUGGGUCGUUCCUGACUGGAAUGAGAAUAAGCGGGGUGCCGUGUGACCCUGUGAGCGCCGAGCAUCGGGCCUCAAUGCCGCUGCUGUUGCUAUAGUUAUCAGUUAACCUAUCAGAACGAGUCCUGCUCAGAUGAACCAUCUCUCACCGUCCUUCUCUCACGUCCAGACCAAGUUAUGACUCAAUUAUUAGGAGACGUGAGUCACUGUUAUUUUAUUUUGUAAUGGAGGCUUUGCUGUUGAUGGAGGUUAACCUGAAUCAUUCCCAGCACAUAGUGAGGCACUACUGGACAAAUAAAGGUUCUUUAUUGGCUUUGAUGGUUCCAUAAAGAACCUUUAACAUCCAUGGAAUCUUUCCAAUCCACAAAGAAUUCUUUAUAGUGGAAAAAGUUUCUUUAGUGUGGAAGCUUAUUUCCACCACAAAACAAAAAAUAAUGUCACUGUGACUUUAAAUCUCACAAUUUUGACUUUUUUCUCAGAAUUUGAAGUUUGAAUCCCACAAUUCAGUCUUUUUUUCUUAGAAUUGUGAGUUUAUGGCUCACAAUUUCAACUUUUUUUCUCAGAAUUGCAAGGUUAUAUUUUACAAUUCGGUCUAUUUUCUCAGAGUUUGCGAGUUUUAUAUUUCAUAGUUUGGACUUUCAUAGUUCUUUCUCAUAAUUAUGAGUUUUUGUCUUACAUUUCAGUCUUUUUUUCUCAAAAAUUGCGAGUUUAUAUCUCACAAUUGAAUUUCAAGUUAGUAUCUCCCAGUUCUGACUUUUUUCUUAGAUUUGCAAGUUGAAAUCUCACAAUUCGGCCAUUUGCGAGUUUAUAUCUCAUAGUUUGGACGUUUCUCUCAGAAUUCAAAGUUUAUAUUUUAUAUUUUGAACACAGUUCUGACUUUUUGCUCAGAAUUGCUUAUAUCUCAUAAUUCGGUCUUUUUUCUCAGAAUAGCGAGUUCUCAUGAUGGCGAGGGGAUAAAAGUCAGAAUUGUGAGAUAAAAAAAUCAUAUGUACUUUUUUUAUAUAUAUUUUUUAAUGCCGUGGUGGAAAAAAGCUUCCAUAGUUUAGAUUAUUAAAAACUUCUUUUAAUAAGAACUGAGCUCUGAGUAAGCAGAACUGGUUCUUCAGUGUCAUCGCUGCGAAACUCUCUUUUGGAAGCUUUAUUUUGAGAGUGUGAGAUCAGUGGAGAUUAAUCUCCCGUGGAUCUGGUCGACUGUGUGGGAACUGGUGGUUAUAUACACAUCCAAACACAAAAGCAUGCUGGGUAGAGGUGCAGGGGGGUUGUUGCAUUUCUCUGUCUGUUCUGUUCGAUUCCCUCUUUUCAUUCAAGCAGCUUGAGGCCGCUUUCUCAUACAUUGGGUCGCUAAGGUGCAGGAGGCCGAUGGAGAAUAACAGCCCUGCUUGUGUAAGGAACACACACACACACACACACACACACACACACACACACACACACACACACACACA
ensembl:lncRNA